rnacentral:rRNA from 1 species
GACGAACGCUGGCGGCGUGCCUAAUACAUGCAAGUAGAACGCUGAAGGAGGAGCUUGCUUCUCUGGAUGAGUUGCGAACGGGUGAGUAACGCGUAGGUAACCUGCCUGGUAGCGGGGGAUAACUAUUGGAAACGAUAGCUAAUACCGCAUAAGAGUAGAUGUCGCAUGACAUUUGCUUAAAAGGUGCAAUUGCAUCACUACCAGAUGGACCUGCGUUGUAUUAGCUAGUUGGUGAGGUAACGGCUCACCAAGGCAACGAUACAUAGCCGACCUGAGAGGGUGAUCGGCCAAACUGGGACUGAGACACGGCCCAGACUCCUACGGGAGGCAGCAGUAGGGAAUCUUCGGCAAUGGACGGAAGUCUGACCGAGCAACGCCGCGUGAGUGAAGAAGGUUUUCGGAUCGUAAAGCUCUGUUGUAAGAGAAGAACGAGUGUGAGAGUGGAAAGUUCACACUGUGACGGUAUCUUACCAGAAAGGGACGGCUAACUACGUG